GUUGACAAACUUCCAUUUUCAUAAUCGCAGGGUGCCGGCGAAUUGGUCAACGAAGCUGUACUGGCGCAGGAGUACGGUGCUGCUGCAGAGGACGUAGCGAGAGUGUGCCACGCUCAUCCCACAUGUGCGGAAGCUCUACGCGAGGCGAACUUGGCCGCAUAUGCAGGAAAACCGAUCAACUUUUAAUUCUAGAUAUAGUUGUACAAAUAAUGUAUGUGAGCCCACAACAUCUGGCUCGUUAUUAGUCAUGUAUGCUAAUUAAGUUCGUCUGCGAUAAGGAAUCUUGUAUGAAUCUGAGUUGAGCAAUUUUGGAUAUUAACUAAUUUAUGUUGUAUUACGCCUUUUGUAAAUCACUCACAAAGCUAAUUUUAAAAACUUCAAUUCAAUGCGUAAACUUCUUAUUUAUUGUAAUCAGAUACCACUGAUUGAUGGUUAUGUGAUAUUU
rnacentral:lncRNA from 1 species